ensembl:lncRNA
GUCUUGGGUUGUCAACUUGGAGUAAACUGCGCGCACACACACACACACACACACACACAUCGUGGUGCCUUUCAAGAUCUGAUGAAAAAAAUCAGAGAGAAUAUGUAGAUUAUGUACAUAAAAUUUGAGAGCAAAGUCAAAUUGCAUGUAGGGUGAUGUAAGGUAGUGUAGGGUAAUGUAGGGUAAUAUAGGGGGAUGUAGGGUAAUGUAGGGUAAUAUAGGAGGAUGUAGGGUGAUGUAGAGUCAUGUAGGGUAAUGUAGAGUAAUGUAGGGGAUGUAGGGGGAUGUAGGGGGAUGUAGGGUAAUGUAGGGUGAUGUAGAGUCAUGUAGGAUAAUGUAGAGUAAUGUAGGGGGAUGUAGGGUAAUGUAGGGUGAUGUAGAGUCAUGUAGGGUAAUGUAGAGUAAUUUAGGGGGAUGUAGGGUAAUGUAGGGUGAUGUAGAGUCAUGUAGGGUGAUGUAGGGUCAUGUAGGGUGAUGUAGGGUGAUGUAGGGUCAUGUAGGGGGAUGUAGGGUAAUCAUUAAUGCAGUACAAAAGGCUGUCAUUAUCAACAUGCACACCAAGAUUAAAACCACCCACAGUAAUGACUUUGUCCUGUACACUACAACAAAGACAACUGGCUCUAUCAGUCUUUUUAGUAAGACAGUCUUUCUGCUAUUUCAUUUUACAAGGAUUUCAGUAUUACGUCUACACAUAUAUAAGUAUACACUAUACUUUACUUCUGUACACUUCUCACCAUUUGUUUUAUUAUUCUGUUGUAAUCUCUCAUAAAUAUCUAUAAGAAUUUAUUUUUUCCUUCACAAAAUUCCUUCUUGUCGCUCAGGACGUCAACUUGGAGGAAACUGUCUCUCACGCACACAGACACAGACACACCCUUUAGCUUCACACACCUGAUUAACUUUAAUUGUUCAAUGGAAUGACAUCCUGGCGCCUUUCAGUAUCCGAUGAAGUUUGAAUGGUAUAAAAUAAAUGAAUAACAAUUGCUGGAUGACCAAGCAUCAUUAUGAACAAUUAACCAGUCUGCGUCUCAUUCUGUCUAUAUAUAAACAUGACGGGUAAGCAUACACCAAUGGAGCUGCUGGAUCCCACUUAGUGACACAGACAUUUUUAUUCUAAUUUGAAUUUUGCAUAUUUUAAUUAUUUUUGAGAAUGAUGAUUACGAU